AAAUUAGGCAGAAAGAUAAAAGUUUCUCAAAUCUGAAAAGAUGGGAGAGUACUUUAUUAUCAUGUUUUGUGAUCAUCUUAAUGAUUAAGAAAGCAUAUCACAAUUGGUCCUAUAAUGUCACACCCCAAAACCAAGAACGGCGGAAACGUUCUGGGGCGGAGGACGUCAUGUAUAGUAUCACAACACAGUAAAUGUAAAUAAGCAAACAACAUCAUCCAUUGCAUUAAAUAUAUAAUUUUAAUACAAGUGUGUUCUGUACAGUUAUAGACACCAAAAAUAACGAAACACAAAAUAAUAUGAGAUGAGUCUUGAAUGCACUCCAUCUUCUCAAAAGCUGGCCUCGGUACCUGUCUACUGAUGACCUGAGAAUACAAGUUAUUUUGAAAGAGUUUAUCAGCAUUAAGCUGGUGAGUUCAUAAGUAUUUUAGUGUCAAUGUUCAUUGUCAAAAACGUUUGAACUUGUCCCAAUGUAUAAGUUUGUAAAAAUGUAAAUAAAUGUUUAAAAGUAUUUGCAAAAGUUUGAAUCUCUCAGAAAAUCCUAUAUUUUCUAUAAUAGUAACCUUCUACCAAGGCUUAACUGUUUUGUAAACUCGUCUGUUGUAAAAGUGUGUGAUUACCCAAGUAUAACUAUCAUUUGAUAAAAUAUAGUUUGUACAUUAAUGCUUAAGUGAGAUUAUCACCAAAAUAUGUAAUGGGUAAAUCAUUGUAGUACUGUAGUUUUGUAUAAUAAGAACUACUGUUGUACUAAUUACUACUACCUUAAACCGGAUUUAUAUUAAGGUAUAAUGUGAUAAUUGCACCAUACUAUCGACUGAUAACAACGACAUAAAGAACGGUCGUAAUAACGGAAUGACGUUUGGCACCCGCAGACCUGCAGGUCCGGCUGUAGCUAGCAGCAAGGUGUAGGAUAGUCAAUCCAGUAUAGAUCUAUACGCAAACUCAACGCUCUCCCUCCAAGAGAAUUCUGGCUACAACUCGGGCCAUGACAUUUAAGGCAUGCUCCGAUACAGUGGAUCACAUUUGUUAUCGUAUUCUUGCAUGUGUGAUGAAAUGUUUCUUGUUCUAGUAUAGUUGUAUAUGUUCUCGUAGUAUAGUUGUAUAUAUUCUCUUCCUAGUAUAGACUCAUGAAUGAACUGACUCAUUGAUCUAGCAGUUGUAAUAGUAUGAUUCUGUGUUACCCCGAUGGUAACUUGUUAACAGUGCGUUUAGUACGUAUGAUUAUGGAAGUACUUUUAUGUCUAUAUAUGUAUAUUUGAUAUAUAAUUAAUAUGGAAACGACCUUCGGAUGGUCACCCAAAAUCCUAUCAGACCACAUCCAAAUCGAGGAAAAGGAAACAAGGUGGAUAGCCUUCCUAAGUCCUUUAAACAUUAUUUAUACGUCUAUACAUAUAUGGGCAUGCAAUUUGUAAUAUAAAAGCAUAAAUAAGUAUUUAUAAGGCAUUUGAAACAUAAGUAUUAUUUUUAAAGAAAGAUUGACUUGAUGUCAAUCUAUAAAACCAUUUGAAGGUGUAGAUUUGAUUAAAACAGUUUAAGUAUAAGGAACAUUUGCUUAAAUCACAGUUGCAGUGUAAAUUCGAAAAGUAAAUGGGUUUGGAAAACAUUUAGAAGUAAAACAGUUUGAUAGAUAGUUUGAAUAGUGAUAAAACCACUGAUUUCCCUAGUUAUUAAUCACAUGUGAUUAGUACAAUCACAUGUGAUUGAAACAAUAACUAUAAGUAUUUAACUUGUACUCCCCCCCUUUUGAAAGCAUAUAAAAGCAUUUAGAAUAUUUAACAGGUUGAUUAAGGGGUAUGAAACUCACUUGAUUGAUUGAAGAAAGCGAGAUGGAAAACCGGGCAGAGUUUCGUCUCGGAAAACGGAUUUUUCUCGGGAUUCUCGGGAAUCUCGGGAGUAAAAUCGACCCUCGGGACUUGAGCAAAAAGACCAGAGCUUCGGGUUAUAACGGGCACGGAAAACGAGACAAAGUUGUGAGAGAGAGGAGAGAAAUGAGCAACAUUUUCGGAAAGCCUCGCAUCCUAUUUAUAGGAAGGCUGAACCGCCUCCGAACGCGGGGCGUACGCUCGUACGCAGCGCGUACGCGUACGUCAUGCAUGACCGAAGCCUCGACUGCCUCGGUUCGGAUGGGACGGGUUGCUGGGUACGCGGGUCGGAUGGGACGGCGGGUCGGACGGGACAGCGGGUCGGACGGGUCGGAGCUUCGGACGGGUCGGACGGGUUAGAACUCUUCGGAUAGUGCGACGUGGACGAUCCGAGACCCUCGAUCUCAGUACGCGGGGCGUACGAAGGUACGCAGGGCGUACUUCGGUCCAAUCCGAUGACUCCCCUUCGGAUAUUACCGGGAAUUUAUAAUUAAAUUUAUAUUUAUUUUAAAUAAACUUCAAAAAUUCAUAUCUCCCUCAUACGAACUCCGUUUUUGACGUUCUUUAUAUCCACGCGAAGGUGAGACCAUGAUCUACAACUUUCGUUUAGAUUCCGUUGGCAAAUUCCGAAAUUAUUUUUAUUAUUUAUUUAUUAAAAUGACGUGAUUAAGGAAUUUCUUCAAAAUUUCAUAACUUCCUCAUCCGAAGUCAGAUUUGGACGUUCUUUUUAUGUACGCAAACCUUGAUAUGAUUCCUAUUACUUUAUUUAAUCCGAAUAAGAUUUUAGGAAGGUUACAUUUUGACCUAAAUUUGAUCGGUUUUACAUUACAUUGACUCGAAAUAUCGGGUUGUCACAUCAUCCCCCCGUUAGAAGGAAUUUCGUCCCGAAAUUAGAAUUUUAAGCAAGUUAGAAAUUACAAAUAACUAAGCAAAAAGGUGAGGGUAUUUCAGUUUCAUCUGAUCCUCACGUUCCCAAGUGAAUUCCGGUCCUCGCUUGGCAUUCCAGCGAACCUUCACGAUAGGGAUACGGCUUUGCUUUGUCUGCUUGACCUCACGGUCCAUGAUCUCUAUAGGUUCUUCCACGAAGUUGAGGCUCUCGUUGAUUUCGAUCUCGUCGAGUGGGAUUACAAGAGUCUCGUCGGAUAGACACUUUUUCAAGUUAGAUACGUGGAAUGUAGAAUGUACGUUACGAAGUGCGUCUGGUAGUUCGAGUUUGUAAGCUACGGGGCCGACUCUUGCAAGAAUCUCGAAAGGCCCUAUGUACCUCGGAUUAAGCUUUCCACGCUUGCCGAAGCGUAUCAAGCCCUUCCAGGGUGAGACUUUGAGGAGGACUCGGUCUCCCACCUGAAAUUCCAAAGGUUUCCUUCGUUUAUCAGCGUAGCUCUUCUGUCGGUCUCUAGAGGCUUUCAAUCGUUCACGGAUCUGAACGAUUUUCUCUGUUGUUUCCCGAAUGAUCUCCGGACCGGUGAGAGUACUGUCGGAAGUUUGCCCCCUGGCUAAUUGGGUAUCACCCACCUCAGCCCAGCACAGAGGGGAUCUGCACUUACGGCCGUAGAGAGCUUCAAAUGGAGCAGCCUUGAUGCUCGUGUGAUAACUGUUAUUAUAGGAAAACUCGACAAGGGGUAAAUGAGUAUCCCAUGCCUUCCCAAAGUCAAUCACGCAGGCUCGCAACAUAUCUUCUAGAGUUUGGAUGGUCCUCUCACUCUGUCCGUCGGUCUGAGGAUGGUAGGCUGUGCUCAUGUCCAGCCUCGUUCCUAGGGAAUGUUGUAGUGAUUGCCAAAAUCUUGAGGUGAACCUACUAUCUCUAUCGGAGAUAAUGGACAUAGGUACACCAUGUAGCCGUACGAUUUCCCUAAUGUAUGUUCUCGUAAGCUUCUCCAUCUUGUCGGUUUCUUUGAUAGGCAGGAAGUGUGCAGACUUGGUCAAUCUAUCAACGAUGACCCAUAUGGUGUCAAGUCCACCCGUUGUCUUGGGCAACUUGGUUAUGAAAUCCAUAGUGAUCCGCUCCCACUUCCAUUCCGGGAUCUCUGGUUGCUGCAAUAAACCAGAGGGCUUCUGGUACUCGACCUUAACCUUUGCGCAAGUAAGGCAUUUACUUACGAAGGUAGCAAUCUCUGCUUUCAUAUUAGGCCACCAGUAUAGCUUCUUAAGAUCCAGAUACAUCUUAUCUGAACCUGGGUGGACGGAAUACCGAGUGUUGUGCGCCUCGGUCAUGACCAAGUCUCGGAAGCCACCAUGUUUCGGUGUCCAGAUCCGGUUCAUGAAAUAUAAAGCUCCGUCACCCUUGGCUUCUAAAUUCUUGUCCAUUCCUCUAAGGGAUUCACUUGACACAUUUUCAGAUUUCAUGGCCUCAAGUUGAGCCGCCUGAAUUUGCUUAGUCAGGUGUGAAUGGAUGGUUAUCGAUAAUGACUUGACUUUGCGACCAGAAUAUUCCUUCCGACUUAGGGCGUCUGCUACUACGUUGGCUUUACCCGGAUGAUAACGAAUAUCGCAUUCGUAAUCACUGAGUAGCUCGACCCAUCGUCGUUGUCUCAUGUUGAGCUCCUUCUGAUCGAAAAUGUGUUGUAAACUCUUGUGGUCGGUAAAGAUAGUGCUCUUCGUUCCAUACAAGUAAUGUCUCCAGAUCUUCAGAGCAAACACUACUGCUCCUAGUUCAAGAUCGUGGGUCGUGUAGUUAACCUCGUGUGUCUUCAACUGUCUCGAGGCGUAGGCGAUGACCUUACCUCGCUGCAUCAGAACACAUCCGAGUCCUUGAUUUGAUGCAUCGCAAUAGACUACGAAGUCUUCUAUUCCUUCUGGAAGGGAUAGUAUUGGUGCGGUGCACAAGGCUCGUUUGAGCGUUUGGAACGCUCUUUCUUGCUUCUCUUCCCAGUCAAAGGCCACGCCUUUCUGGGUCAGGGUUGUAAGAGGCUUCGCUAUUCGUGAGAAGUUCUGAAUGAACCUGCGGUAGUAGCCAGCGAGACCUAGAAAUUGACGAAUUUCUGUAGGAGUCUUCGGUGCUGACCAGUUCUCAAUGGCCUUAAUUUUGGAUGGGUCCACGUGGAUUCCCUCUUCGCUUACCACGUGUCCUAAGAAUUCGACUCUUCGGAUCCAAAAUUCACAUUUCGAGAACUUCGCAUAAAGUUUCUCCUUUCGUAAUGUCUCUAGAACUUGUCGCAGAUGAUCACCAUGCUCUUUCUUACUUCGGGAGUAGAUCAGGAUGUCGUCAAUGAAAACGAUGACGAACUGAUCUAAGUAAGGUCGGCAUACUCUAUUCAUCAGAUCCAUGAAGACUGCGGGCGCAUUGGUCAAUCCGAAUGGCAUCACCACGAACUCGUAGUGUCCGUAACGAGUUCGGAAGGCUGUCUUCGGCACAUCCUCCUCGAGCACUCGUAACUGGUGAUAUCCGGAUCUCAGAUCAAUCUUGGAAAAAUAGUUCGCCCCUUGCAGUUGGUCGAAUAGAUCAUCUAUGCGUGGCAGAGGGUAACGAUUUUUGAUCGUCAAUUUGUUGAGUUCUCUGUAGUCAAUACACAUACGGAAUGAUCCGUCUUUCUUCUUAACGAACAAGACCGGUGCUCCCCAAGGUGAGAAACUUGGUCUUAUAAAGCCCUUGCUGAGCAGUUCGUUAAGUUGACCAGAGAGUUCUUGCAUCUCGGCUGGUGCUAAACGGUAGGGCGACUUGGCUACUGGGGUAGCUCCUGGGACUAAGUCUAUUCUGAACUCGACUUGUCGUUGCGGAGGUAACCCGGGUAGUUCUUCUGGGAAAAUGUCGGGGAAGUCGCUCACUACUGGGAGGUUCUUUAGUUCUUUCGUUUCUAGGUUCGUGUCGACGACGUGAGCAAGGAAUGCGUGGUAUUCUUUGCGCAGAUAUUUCUGUGCUUGAAUACUAGAUAUAAUGCGAAGACUCGCACCAGGUUUGUCGCCGUAGACUAUAAGAGUUUCGUUAGACGGGAGGUUUAGUCGGACUGCUUUCUCGUAGCACAUGAUGUCGGCGCGAUGAAGACUUAACCAAUCCAUGCCGAUAAUAACGUCGAAACUUUUUAUUGAGACCGGCAUAAGGUCGAUUGGGAAUGAAUGGUUAUCUAAGGUUAGAAGACAACCUAAGUAUAUGCUAUUAGUACUUUCAGUUUUCCCAUUGGCCAUUUCUACUGUGAAUUGUUCAUUAAGUGCGUGUGGUUGUUGCUUAAGCAUGCGAGCAAAUUUGUGGUUUACGAAGCUUCGCUCCGCUCCACUAUCGAACAGAAUGCAUGCAUAGGAGUUAUCAAGGAGGAACGUACCAGUCACCACUGUCGGGUCAGCAACUGCUUCCCCGUGGCCUAUUGCUAGUACCCUCCCUGCUCCUCCAGUAUUCCUCGCCUUAGGGCAGUCCCUUUUAAAGUGGCCUGUUUCGCCACAUCCAUAGCAAGUUGGGCUCACGCCAGAGCCAGGAACUUGGGAGAUCGGUUGCGCCGGGAACCUACAGAAUCGGACGGUGUGUCCUUUCCUGUGGCAGUUAGCACACUGCAUUUCACGGCAGGCGCCGUUGUGGUGGAAGUUGCAUUUGUUGCACUUCGGCAAACUUCCAGAAUACUGCUUCCCCGGAGCAGUAACAGCAGUAGGGGCUACCGCAGCAUGUACUGCUACGAUUUGCUGUUUCUUUGAAGCACGCUGCUUCUUCUUCUCAUCCCAGAACUUCCGCUUGUUGCCAGCGGGUUUAGAGGGUUCUGGGAUGGCUAGGGUGGUUGUGGUUGCAGGGGUCUUGACUCCAUGGUCAAUGAGUCUUUGUGCCAAUCGCUUGGCACUGUCGAAGGUAGCAGGGUUGGAUGCUAAGACAUUCCCCUGGUACGGAGGCACUAGCCCCCAUACAUACCGCUCAAUCUUUUUCCCUUCAGUGGGAACCAUGUUGGGGCAUAGGGCCACCAGUUCGCUAAAGCGGGCAGUGUAAGCGAUCACGUUGGUGCCCUUCAUUGUCAGAUUCCAGAGUUCAUGUUCCAACUUCUGGACUUCGCCCCUCGGGCAGUAUUCCUCAGUCAUGAGGUCCUUCAUCGUUGCCCAGCCCAUGUCGUUAGCCACGACGAGAGUUAGGGCUUUGACGUGGCCGUUCCACCACGUUAGGGCUUUAUCCUCGAAGGUGCACGCGGCAUAUUUCACUUUAAAUGCAGCAGGGCACGAACAGAUUUCGAAGACUGAUUCAGUCUUCUCGAACCAUUGCGAGAGAGCAAUGACUCCGCCGGUGCCAUAGAAAGGCUUCGGCUUGCAGUUUGUAAAAUCCUUGUAAGAGCACUCUCUCGAGCGCACAGGGAUUUCAACUGGGAUAGAUUCAACAGGGGUUCCACCUCUGCUAGCAUCCGAUGAGUGAUACUGAGCCAUGGCAGUUGCCACUGCUGCAGCUACGACAGCAUUCAGGGCUGCAGUAUCGAUGACCGGAGGCGGUGGAGGUGCAGGAUUAUUCCUAUUCCUGGGAGAUUUGCGAGGAGGCAUCUUUCGGCUAUAAGUUUAUAAAGAUAAGAAAGAUGGUAAGAAUCAAUUUGUAAGCAACGUGAGAGUGACCCAUGGACUAACUAACCAUAGCCCAACAGUUUGAAUGAGUGUUUGAAAUCACAAUAAGAAAUAUUAGUAGGAAUACACAAGUGUACAAAUUUUUCCCACAGAUUAGAUAGAUUUCAAUAGUACGGGUAUUACUGAUGUAAUAAGUUCAAGGAAAAUCGACCUAACAGUAGGUCUUACAUCAUACCAUAAGGACAAUACUGACAGUCCUAGAUUCCUAAUUAGAGUACCGAAAGUUAGGAAUAUUUUACAGACAAGUGCUACUUAGAGCACAUAAGUUCAAGGCUAUCCCUAAAUCAAAAGACAGAGAUGUACUAGACAUCAUCUAAUGGCGAUGGGAAUUCCUCGGGCGAUCCCUGAGGUCGGACACUUGGCGAAACACCUCUUGAAGGUGUCGGUCCUGAGCUCUCUGACGAGCUCGAAGUUCUAAGACUUCAGCACGGGAGGCAGCCAGCUGUUGCUGCAGAGUUUCGUUGGUUCUCCGGGUCCGUUCCAUGUCUUCUUCGAGACGGCGAAUGCGGACUGUAUUGACACCUGAAUUGGCAUCAAUCUCCAUGACCCGGUCGAUGGCUGCUCGACCUUGCUCGACAUUACGAGCUAUUCUGCGGAUGAUCACCGGCAGAGCUCUGUCAGCAGAGCCACCAUCGCUGAUGUUGUAAAAGGUUCGGUCCCCAAAGUAUGGUAAGGGCUGACCCUGCUCAUCACUCCAGCGAUUCAGAUUGUUUGCCCACAUGGGAGUAGGACCUGGAAACGCUGGUCGAGGGUUGUUGUUCGGGGCUUGACCUACAAGCGGUAGGUUGUUGACUUCAGGCUCGGAGUCAGAUCCAUCCGAAAAGCCUUCUGCGAGGUGAUCAUCCAAAGGGAUUGGAUGCUCAUCUUCGGGCUCUUCAUCGAUCCACCCGGCAUUGCCUUCAUUGGGAAAGUACGGGUCGCCAUGAUGGAAUCCAGCCAUUUAGAUCUACGCGAGAAGAGAGGUAUAAGAAUAUAGUAUACGUGUAACUAGUAGCACAAAAUACACCUAUAGUAUUUUAAGUUUAAGUUCUACUGAUCUUCUUGUGGUAUUGUUGGUAAGUUUUUAGACUUGUUAACAUAUCACAACCAUUCUAGGGCAUAUGCUAAUCACUCCUAGGACCAGCAUAGUUGAUCAGGCUAUGCCAUUCCCAGGACUGACCAUACAUCCCCGAGCUCACUUGUGAUAUUCAACAAUCGUAAUACUUUUGUUCUUGUCAUUGUGACACUGAUUUUAGUAUGAAUGCAGACUAGUAUACUUAAUUAAAUAUUUUAUUAUUUAAAGUAUAGACUCUUGGUCAGAGUGUUUUAGUCCCUUUUGGGUUUAUAGAUUAGUAUAUCUUUUAUGGGUUGAUAUACUUGAUUCACUAUAAACAAUGCUCUGAUACCAAUCUGUCACACCCCAAAACCAAGAACGGCGGAAACGUUCUGGGGCGGAGGACGUCAUGUAUAGUAUCACAACACAGUAAAUGUAAAUAAGCAAACAACAUCAUCCAUUGCAUUAAAUAUAUAAUUUUAAUACAAGUGUGUUCUGUACAGUUAUAGACACCAAAAAUAAUGAAACACAAAAUAAUAUGAGAUGAGUCUUGAAUGCACUCCAUCUUCUCAAAAGCUGGCCUCGGUACCUGUCUACUGAUGACCUGAGAAUACAAGUUAUUUUGAAAGAGUUUAUCAGCAUUAAGCUGGUGAGUUCAUAAGUAUUUUAGUGUCAAUGUUUCUUGUAAAAACGUUUGAACCUGUCUCAAUGUAUAAGUUUGUAAAAAUGUAAGCAAAUGUUUGAAAGUGUUUGUAAAAGUUUGAAUCUCUCAGAAAAUCCUAUAUUUUCUAUAAAAGUAACCUUCUACCAAGGCUAAACUGUUUUGUAAACUUGUCUGUUGUAAAAGUGUGUAAUUACCCAAGUAUAACUAUCAUUUGUUAAAAAUAUAGUUUGUACACUAAUGCUUAAGUGAGAUUAUCACUAAAAUAUGUAAUGGGUAAAUCAUUGUAGUACUGUAGCUUUGUAUAAUAAGACUACUGCUGUACUAAAUACUACUACCUUAAACCGGAUUUAUAUUAAGGUAUAAUGUGAUAAAUUGCACCAUGCUAUCGACUGGUAACAACGACAUAAUGAAUGGUCGUAAAAAAAGAAAUGACGUUUGGCACCCGCAGACCUGCAGGUCCGGCUGUAGCUAGCAGCAAGGUGUAGGAUAGUCAAUCCAGUAUAGAUCUAUACGCAAACUCACGCUCUCCCUCCAAGAGAAUUCUGGCUACAACUCGGGCCAUGACAUUUAAGGCAUGCCCGAUACAGUGGAUCACAAUUAUUACGUAUUUAUGUAUAUGUAUUGUUUCUCGUAUAUCUGUAUAUGUAUUGUUUCUCGUAUAUCUGUAUAUGUAUUGUUUCUAGUAUAUCUGUAUAUGUAUUGUUUCUAGUAUAUCUGUAUAUGUAUUGUUUCUAGUAUAUCUGUAUAUGUAUUGUUUCUAGUAUAUCUGUAUAUGUAUUGUUUCUAGUAUAUCUGUAUAUGUAUUGUUUCUAGUAUAUCUGUAUAUGUAUUGUUUCUAGUAUAUCUGUAUAUGUAUUGUUUCUAGUAUAUCUGUAUAUGUAUUGUUUCUAGUAUAUCUGUAUAUGUUUGAUCCUGCGUUACCCCGAUGGUAACCAGCUAAUGAUGUACUGAUGAGUAUGAAUAUGGAAGUACUUUUAUGUCUAUAUAUGUAUAUAUGAUAUAUAAGUAAUAUUGAAACGACCUUCGGAUGGUCACCCGAAAUCCCACCAGACCACAUCUCAAGGCGCGAAAAGGAAAUAGGGCGGAUGGCCUUCCUAAGUCCUUUAAACAUUAUUUAUACAUCUAUACAUAUAUGGGCAUGCAAUUGAAUAUAUAAAAGCAUAAAUAAGUUUUCAUAAAACAUUUGAAGCAUAAAUAUGAUUUCAAGAGGAGAUCGACUUGAUGUCGAUCUAUAAAACAAUUUGAAGGCAUAAGUUAAUAAAACAGUUUAAGUAUAAGAAGCAUUUGUUUAAAUCACAGUCUAUAAGUAAGUUUGGAUAGUAAAACAGUUUGUAAAACAUUUCAAAGUAAGGCAUUUUGAUAAACAGUUUGAACAGUGGUAAAAAUCGUUGUUUUCCUAGUUAUUAAUCACAUGUGAUUAAAUGCAAUCACAUGUGAUUGAAGCAAUAACUUAUAAGUAUUUGACUUGUAUUCCCCCCCAUAAAGUAUUUAAAACACUUAAAAUCAUUUCAAAGGUUGAUUCAAGGGGUAUGAACUCACUUGUGGUGAGUCGUUUGAAUUGCAGUGUCGGCUACCGUGCUAGGUGGCAAACGGAGACUGGUUUACACGCACGAGCCUAGUUAUCAUAUAAUAAGCAUAUAUAUAACUAAUUAGACAAAUAAUAACUUAAAUAAAUAAGUUAAGACACUUAGAAAACAUUUAAACACUUUUAUGAGUGUUUAGGGUUCAAAUGGUUGCAUCUAAGUUGCUACGGGACAAGGCAAAAGGGUUUGAAACAUCAAAUAGCCUUGUAUAGGAGUUCACCAUCCAACAAACCCCACACCUUGGAGUUUACGGCCGUAAACUCAUAGGUUUAUGGCCGUGAACUCCUCAAAUGGUGUUUUUGGGUGUUUUGUGGUGUUAUCUUGCAUCUAGAACACUUCUAUCUUUAUUGGAAUAAUGUAUGAAGUAGUUUUAAGGCUCUAGAACACUCCAUAAGGGAGUUUACGGCCUAAGGUCCUUCACCUUAGAGUUUACGGCCGUAAACUCUAGGAAAUUAAUUGAUUUGAGGCACUUAAACAUCAAGAAUGGCAUCCAUGAUUUUAUCUAAGGCUAAUGGGGACAAGAGGCACACUUUGGUGCCUUCACUUGGAGUUUACGGCCCAAGUCAUGUUCCUUGGCCGUAAACUCCUUUCAAGGAGUGGUUUAGAUGUGUUCUACUCUCCAUUCUAGUCCCAAGGGUGCAAGGUAAAUUGUCUAAAGGCUUAAGGGUAGCUUGGAAUGAUUUUUGUCCCACAAAAUGGGGUUUACGGCCCAAGAAGAGUUCUGGGCCGUAAACUCACUUUCUUUUGUGUCAUUUGAAGUGUUUAAGACCUUAAGCUAAUUGGGGAAUAAAUCUAGAUGCAAGCCUUAAAGUCCUUAAGUCCAAAAACCACCAUUUAGCCCUUUGAAAUGGAGUUUACGGCCUAAGAGAGUUCUGGGCCGUAAACUCCCAAUCUUGGGUGGUUUUGUGUGUGAUUUCAUGUCCCUAAUGUGUUUACCUAAUGUCCUAAGGCCUUAUUCUAGCAUCAAUGUCGGUUUUGGCCUUGUUUCGGGAGUUUACCGCCCAAGAACACCUUGGGGAGUAAACUCCUAGAUCUCAUGAUUUAGCCACCUAAAUCAUGUUAUUAGCAUUUAAUAUGUAUUCUAACAUUACUAGAAAAGGGUACUCACAAUUUGGGAUCAAAACCCGAAGAUCCGUCAGAGAGAAAAUGGCUUUUCUCUAGUUGGAAUUGUGAAUAAUGAAUAAAUUAACUUUAGAAAACUAUUUAUAGUCCUGGAAUAUUUUGACAGAAAAUAUUUCUCUUCUCAAACUUGGACUGUAACAUUAUGAAACUUGAAAUGCCCAAAUUUCACAAACUCAGGAGUAUCCACUCUCCUGAUAUCUCCUAAAGUGUAAACCCUAAGGUACACAAAUUUGUUCGGAAAAGCUUGAAAAUCACAGAAACUGAACUUGCUUCUAUUGAAUAGAUGAGGUUCAUACAAUGGAAAUUUCGGGUUGUCACAUAUAAGGACAUCUUAGUGCAUUCCUAUGGGUAAGAAGAGGAAUCAUGAAUUGUUGAAAUGGUUAAAGCAAGAAGACGAGUUAUACUUAAUUCCAAAACAAUUCUUAGAUUUAUAUUCCAAGAUUGUAACUUGAGUGACAUAUCUUAAAGAAGGAUUAUAACACUUGUCCAAUGUAAGAGUAAAAUAUGUUCUGCUCUUGUACAUUUGAAAUUGGUAAGUUGUGAUGUUUUGGAGAAAACAGAGACCAACU
rnacentral:lncRNA from 1 species